UGGAUGUGUAGCUCAGUUGGUUAGAGCGUUCGCUUCACACGCGAGAGGUCAGGGGUUCGAGUCCCUUCACAUCCACCC
rnacentral:tRNA from 1 species